CUUUCAAGCCACGGGAUGCAGAUAUUGUUGCGAUUCACUUCUUUGCUACUGAAUGCAAUGCGUCCAAAAUUUUUUACUAAAAAUAGCUACCACUUUUUAAUUGCCAAUGUGAAAAACAAAUCACCUAUUAUAUUAAUAUUACCAAUUUAGGAGGCAACUCUUUUGUACAAAUCGAACCUUUCAGCGCUACUGGCCGAACACAAUAUCUUUUUAACACAAAUGCCUUUGAAUGUUUUGCACUUUCUUCUUUUUCAACUUUUCAGUCGUGCAACGCAAUGCUAGACACGAAGGAAUUCGCUGCCAAAGAGGAAUUCGGAAUAAUUAGAAAAUGGAUUUUUCACGUCGUUCGUUCGCUUGUCGUUCGCCCGCCAUUAUAGAACUGCCAGAUGUAAUAAAUAGAAAUGCAUUUAUUUGGAUACGAAAAUACUAUAGGACUACAUAGUGUAUUUACUAUUUAUGGCGUAAGAAUAUAAAUCUAUUUUCCUUUUUAUUUAUAGAUAAUAUAUUUAAAUGAUAUUUGCGCCAA